GCCGAAUGUAAUCCACAGAAGAGGCCUCUUAGCGGAGCCCAAUCCCAUCCCGACAUUGCUCGCCGGGAAACAAGACAACAGAAAAAUUGCGAAAGACAUCCCUCGCAAGCCCGCGCCAGCAGAAGACAGGGUGGUCACGUGACGCGCGCUGCCGUGGUGGUGGAUGCUCCGCUCUCCGGGUCACGGACACACUCACUCCCAGGGAGGUUUGUACUAACGUUAUCUAAAAUAUGUCUAUGGUAUGUGCAUAAAUAUUUUUGUGUUUAUUGGAAACGCACAUAACUACAGCAUAUAACAUUCCCGUCUUGAAGGCUCUCAUAUAGUUCGAUUGCAUUAAUGGCAACAUCUACAUUUGCAGUGAACCAAUUUAAUAGGAGGUAAUAUUUGAAGCUGAGUAAUGUCAAUCACGGAAAAAGAAACGUUUACAUCAAUAUACUUUUUUUAUUGUUUACUCUUUUUCAGAGAUUUAAUAGCUUGCUUUUUCAGAUGUUUAUAUCUUACAAUAUCCUCAGAUUUCGUCAUUUGUAAAAACAUUCACGAGGUAUGUAUAAAAAAAAAACAGAGCAUCACUAAGUAAGACAGAUCAAUCCACACACUUCCUCAGACAUAUACAUAAAAUGUAUGCAAUUGUCCCAAUGUAUUUUACACAUACAGAUACACAUUUAUAUAUAAAAUACACUUUAACAGUGUUUGGUAUUUAUUCAAUUUGUUGUCGUAAUUGGGGCUUCUCUUUUCAAUAUGUCAUUUUCAUGAAAACUAGAUAAAAGUUCCAUAUAGAAAAGGAAAACUAUGAUCGCCUGUGGCAGUCUUUCACAGAAAGACCAGAGGAAGGCAAGAACAUAACUCAAGCCUACCCUGCCUCUACCAAACAAGGAAACUAAGCAAAAUCACUUACUCCUUGGUACAAAAAAAAAGUUUUACAACUGCGAAAAACCAAAGCAUAUGCCUGUAGCAUCUAAUGCCAGGCUCGAGUCAAAAAACUCAGUCGUCCUUGCAUCCUUUUUACUGGAUGGUUAAGAAAAUCAAAGUCCUCUCUAGUUCCUGUCGAGGAGUCCCAAAUAUGAUCAAUUAUAUUUGAUAAUAUGUUUUUACUACCGAAAUUAAAAAUAAUUUUCUAGUAACACAAGAAUGGUUACAGAUCAGGAUUUGAACACCACCAAUGGUCAAAUCGGCUUAAGGUAUUCAGGUCGAAGAGAACAGAUCAUGAAGCAAAGGGCAAAUAGACAAUAUAUCCUUCGAAAGAAGCAGCUAUAAACAACCCUGACCAAUGGAAUUUAUGUGACGGUGAAAGGGGAAAAUAAAUAAAGGUAAAGAAAAUUAGAAUAUCAGCAGGUCUGCCUCUCAAAUCACACACAAAAAAUAAAAUAAGCAUUUUGUUGGGAUUAAUUCGUAGCAGAACAAUAAUGCAUUUGCAAUCUUACGGUUUCUCCUUUGCAUCAUCUUGGUAAGAACAAAUAUGAACACAAAGUUCCAUUUUGGUUGGGUUCUACUUCUGCAGGGAGAAGUUCUUUGUGAUUGUUGUGGGGCAGGACGGGCUGCUCCAACCAGUAAAUAUUCUCUAUUAAAUGUCCGACUGCACUCCAGAUUAGUCCUUCGAAAGGAAUCAUCUCUUCAGUAAAUCUUCUUCCUCUCUCCCUCAUUUUAUUGCCGUUCAUUUCAGUAAGCGAACGAAAAGGAACCGAAAAGUUCCACAGGUAUUUUACAAAGAAACGGUCUUUUAUCACUGAGGAAGCAGCGGUGAACACAAUCAGAACAUACAAAAAAACGAGCCGGCAAAAUACCACAGCCUAAUCCCUGGGGGUUGGAUUUUUUUUUUUUUAAUUCUGAAAUUCUUCUAAUCUUGAUGUUUCUCAAAACUCCGUGGCAGACUUUGAAGCUUUUGAAAAAUGUACUGGUUGAGGUGGAAAGGAGCACAGGAAUAAUUGGGGGAGGAAGGGGUGGAGGAAU